AUUGAACGCUGGCGGCAUGCCUUACACAUGCAAGUCGAACGGUAACAGGCCGCAAGGUGCUGACGAGUGGCGAACGGGUGAGUAACACAUCGGAACGUGCCUGAUAGUGGGGGAUAACUACUCGAAAGAGUAGCUAAUACCGCAUAAGAUCUCAGGAUGAAAGCAGGGGACCGCAAGGCCUUGCGCUAACAGAGCGGCCGAUGGCAGAUUAGGUAGUUGGUGGGAUAAAAGCUUACCAAGCCGACGAUCUGUAGCUGGUCUGAGAGGACGACCAGCCACACUGGGACUGAGACACGGCCCAGACUCCUACGGGAGGCAGCAGUGGGAAUUUUGGACAAUGGGCGCAAGCCUGAUCCAGCAAUGCCGCGUGCAGGAUGAAGG
rnacentral:rRNA from 1 species